GCCUGUUUAUCAAAAACAUGUCCUUUUGUAAAUAAUUUAAGGUCUGGCCUGCCCAAUGAUUUGUUUAAUGGCCGCGGUACUCUGACCGUGCAAAGGUAGCAUAAUCAUUAGUUUUUUAAUUGAAAGCUUGUAUGAACGGUCGGACAAGGAAAUAUCUGUCUUUAUUUGAAGAGUGGAAUUUUAUUUUUUAGUAAGAAAGCUAAGAUUUAUUUAAGGGACGAGAAGACCCUAUAGAAUUUUAUAAGUUGUUGAUUGAUUGGUUUUAGGUUUAUUCGGCUGGUUAGUGAAUUAUUUAUUUUGUUGGGGUGAUGGAAAAAUUUGUUUAACUUUUUUUGUAUAGUUUUACUGAUUGGUAAGUUUUUGAUCCACGAUUUGUGAUUAUAAGAUUAAAUUACCUUAGGGAUAACAGCGUAAUUGGUUUGGAGAGUUCUUAUCGAUAAACUAGUUUGCGACCUCGAUGUUGGAUUAAAAUGAACUUAUGGUGUAGGGGCUAUUAGGUUAAGUCUGUUCGACUUUUAAAAUUUUACAUGAUCUGAGUUCAGACCGG
rnacentral:rRNA from 1 species